GCCGGGCAUGGUGAUGCAUGCCUGUAGUCCCAGCUACUCGGGAGGCUGGGGCGGGAGGAUCACUUGAGCCUGGGAGGUCAAGGCUGCAGUGAGCCAUGAUCGCACCACUGCACUCCAGCCCGGGUGACAGAGCAAGACCCUGUCUCCA
rnacentral:SRP_RNA from 1 species